GAUUCCACUUGCCAUUAUUAGCUGUAUUUCUGUCACUGUUACUACUGCCCAUUAAGUUAUUCAGUCUUCAUUUGCUGCUGUUAACUAUGAGUAGUUAUAAUUUCUUACAUUUUUGGGAACACCUGAACGUCUCAAAGACGAACCCCCUGCAGAUUUAGCUGUUACGCCCCGUAGCUUCGCCACAGUCUGUCACCAGCAAGACUCGUGUGUGUGUGGCAGAGCUGAGACUGUGGGAGCUGACGAACCUUUCUUUAUGUUCAAAAAUCCAGAACAUGCCAAUAAAGAGGCGUCAGAGACUCGACAUU